AAAAGAAAUAACCCUUGCUCACAGCAUGAAAGAAAUGAUAGUUAUACAUUCAUUUUUGUGCCUCUGGCUAGUAUGAAGUUGUUUUUGGUUCUGAUGUCAGACCCAGAGGAUGUGGCACAUGGAAGAAAUAAUUGAAGGCCAUCCAGUGGCAGAAAAGAAUGAAUUAAUUGGGAAACUGAGCAAGGGACUGUAGAAUUAAGAAAGAGAAAAUUUCUUCAGAAUACCAUCGGUCUAUUUUUUCUCAAAUAUCUCCUGUUGUCUGUAAUGAUUGGGUCACUUUUGAUGUUUAUUUUCAGCCAAUAAAAUAUUCCUGUGUUCCUAAGGGCACAGAUGUCUAACAUUGAAUAAGGUGUUAUGGUUUUCCAGGUUGCUUUGUGAUUUCUUUUCAUUAAUAUUAAACGACCCAGGUGAUG